rnacentral:lncRNA from 1 species
GAAAAUAACAUGACACAAUAAUAAAUGUGAAGGUAGUUUUAUACUCUAAAGUACAUGAUUUUAUGGUUAUAUCAUUGUCCAAUACAAAAAAGAAUGACUCCAGGACAGAGGCUGGUAAGGAAACAAGGACCAAUUCUACAAGCACAUAGAACCGAAUCUUGCCAACAGCUUGAACGAUCCUGGGGGAAAGAUUUUCCUCUACAGCUCCAGGGAAGCAAAAAUAAAAAACUUGUUGAUCCCUUGCUUUCAGCCUUAUGAGAACUUUAGCAGGGAUCCAUGCUGUGUUACACUUCUGACACAUAAAAACUGUGAGCUAACAUGUGGGUAUUAUUUUAGGUAAUUAAAUUUGUGAUCAUUUGUUAAAACAAUGAUAAAAAAUCAGGUUUCUACAGAAGAAAAAUGACUUAGAGAAAUGAAAUAAUUCUUUUCAUAAUCUAUAUUAAGCAGAGUCUCAUACAUACUGACUACUUUUGAGUGAUAAUAAGAAAGAUUUGAUUUAAGGAAAUGAAGAGUAUUAUAUGGACAAUUUGCAUUUACAGGGUCUACUAUAUAAUCCUAACAGUCUCUGUAUGAGAUCCAUAUGAGUCAUAAACCUGCCUACACCAAUAUUUAAAGAGCGCCAUGAUGAUGGAGUAGAAAGAAAUUAGGAUUUGGACUUGAAAUCUCUCAUAAGAUCUAGUCCAGGCAGUAUCUAAUCCAAUCACUGGUCAAGGAACUUUUGGUAUCUCAUCACCUCUAAACCUGAAUUUCCACAUCUUUGAUACAGGUAUGCAUCAUAUAGCUACAUUGGUUUAAGUGAGAUAAUUUAAAAUUAUUUGAAAAUUGAACAUACAUAAACUCUCAUCAUGCCAGGGUACAUUACCUGGUGAUUCUCAGAAAGUGACUAAAAUAAUUGCUGGUGGUCAGAUUCAUUUAGACUGUUAAUUUACUAAGACUGAUUCAUAAUAACUUCUUUUAAUGCUAAUCUACUUUCAGAUUAUGAAUUAAAUAUAUUCUGAGAUGGUUCAUUGUUUGUAGUUUAGAAAGAGAAAAGGAAUGGAGGAAUGAGGGGAUGCAGAAUGACUUUAUGGUAAUCCCAAAAUUCCCAAUCAGUAAAAGGGACACUAAGGAAAGCAACUUAAAAAAAAAAACUCCGUGUUCUUGUUAGGGGUUAUAUUGUGUCCCCCCAAAAUGGAAGGUUUAACUCCCACUGCCUCAAGAUGUGACCCAUUUGGAAAGAGGGGCACUGGAGUUCCCCUUGUGACUCAGCAGGUUAAGAACUCAACUAGUACCCAUGAGGAUGUGGGUUCAAUCCCUGGCCUCACUCAGUGGGUUAAGGAUCUGGCAUAGCUGCAAGCUAUGGCAAAGGUCAUGGAUCAUCUCAGAUCUGGUGUUAUCAUGGCUGUGGUGAAGGCUGUUGAGAGAAAGGCUUGGAGUAGAUUCUCACUCACGGCUCUUAGAAGAAACUGACCUUGCAGAAACCCUGAUCUCAGACUUCCAGCUUCAGAGCUGUGAAACAAAUAUUACUGCUGUUUACAUCACUCAUGUCAUGGUACUUUGUUAAAACAGUCUGAGAAAAGUAAUGCACGCCUACAUUCAAGAGAAGAUACACAAGCAACUAUCACAAUUAUAAUUACCCAGCAAAGGUUAUGAACCACUUAAAGAACUUUCAAAUACCUUAAGUGCAUUUAAUUAUUUAAAAAAAAAAAAACAAAACUCUUGAGCCAUAAAGAGGGUGGGAAUUGUUAUUGUUUUAUUUUAUAAGACAUGAGUAGAUAUAAGAUAGUUUAAGACGCAGACUUAAAACCAAAGAGAUAAUUGAGGAGAAGAUCAAAUCUGAAACUUUGAAUACACACCUCCUUUCUCUAUGCCAUUUGAUUGAAUUUCACUUGGCUCAGUUCUUUGUACCUACUCCUAAACUUAGGAGAAACUAUCAAACAAAAAUGCCCUUAGACUGUAUGUUUAAGAUAUGGAGAAAAAUCCCAGUAAAUUUGUCUGCAAGGGGGAGUAGGGAGCAGAGCCCUGAAGGAAGGUCACAGCUGUCUAGUGAGGCCAUUUUCACAAGCCCAUCGUCUUGAUCAGUUUGUCAAAGCAAAAGUGCUUGAGCUGUUCAAGUACAGUUCAGCAGAGCAUCUGUCACAGACUUCAUCUUUGUCUGGUUCUGUUUUAUUAGAUUACUGUCCAGCAGCUGUUCUUUGACCAAAGAGGAACUCCAAGGUAUUUUAAAUUCCCAGUCAAGUUCCUCUGAGAAAUACUCAAAAUCCAGGUGCCAUUUUGCCCAUGAACAAAAUUACUUCUGCAGGAAUAAAAUAUUCAAUGCUUAAGCUUUUGGUUAAAGUUUACCUGCAAUGCACACAGCACUACUUGUGUGGUGAAAGUUUUAAUCUUACGAAGUUUGCAGCCUAUCUGAAGAGUAAACUAUUAUUAGCGAUAGAAGCAAUGGAUUUGGAAUCCCUGAAGAAAACAUCAAACUAGGUGUAUUGUUCAUGCUGAAUAAGAAUGAAAUAAUUCUCUUUCUUGUUUGUUUCCUUCCCCUUGUAUUACUCCAAUUGUCUCUAUCCCUCAACCCACUUGAGAAAAAUAGAAAAAAAAAAAAAAAACAGAAUAUCAGAAACCUUUUACAGAAGAAAAAGAAGUUCUAAGUUGUGAAAUCAUUUACACAUGAAAGCAUAUUCAAGUGGAAACUAUCUUUUGUUAUCUUAACUUCUGGAGUGAUACUCCAAAAUAGCCACUGUGCUACAUUAUCCACAAAUAUCUGAGAGAUUUCUGAAUGUCAGCAGGGAACAGUUUAUCGAUCUGACUCAGAAGAAAUAUGGUGCACUAAAACAGACAUUAUAUGAGAAGUCAGGAGACCCAAUUUCUGUAUCUGGCUCUACUACCUAUGAGCUCUUUGACCUUGAGAGGUCUUUUGGGAACUAGACCCCCCCCAAUGCCCCAUUUGAGUAAUGAGCUAUAUAAUCUUUGAGGUCCAUUUCUAAUCUAUAAUGAUGAGAUCCAAAUAAUGUAAAUGACUCUCUAAAACCUAUUGAGAAGUAAUUCUUGAUUGCAAUUUUGGCAAAUUUGGGAAAUAACUCUAAGCACAGCCUAAUGGAAGUGGGAAUAGUGAGAGCAUUUUUAUCUCAAUAUUUGGUAUCUAUCUUAAAGUUGGAAAGAAGCAAAAAUUAAAAUGAAAUCAUUACUUAUCAUGUGCUAUGUUCUAUUUCAGUUUCUCCACACACUAACCUUUAUCCUACACCAAUCCUUUAAGAGAACUAUAAGAAUGCUUCCCCAAAAGGGAUAAUUUUAAACCAGGGGAGGGAAAAAGGAAGGUGGUAUAUAUACAUACAUACAUAUAUAUAUAUGUAUGUAUAUAUACACAUACACAUACACACAGUCAGAAACUGAAAACUAGAGCACAGGUUUAGUGUUUCUCCUAUUAUAAACAGCAUAAUCAAAAUUAUUUCAUAGUAGUUACUGAAAAACAUGGAAUAAAAGCCUUCGCAAAUUUAGUUUCCUUGAUUAUAGGUACAAAAUGUCACCAAAUACUUCAUUUUUCUUUUUUUUUUUUCUUUUCUUUUUAGGUCACCCCCACUGUGACCUAUGCUACAGCUGCAGUAUCGCCAGAUCCUUAACCGACUGUGCCAGGGCCAGGAAUUGAACCAGUACCUCCAUAGAGAUAAGCUGGAUCAUUAACUCAUUAUGCUACAGCUCAAUAUUCUUAUUUUUAAAAUAAUAAUAGGCAUGAGUUUUGUACCAUCAUUCAAAUACAGUCAUGUCCAAAAUAUUUUAUAUCUUGGAAAUAUGUUAAUAAAUCUACAUUUUAUAUCUAUUUAUUUGAUUCAUUGAACUAGCAGUUAGAAGCUAGACUUUAUUACCUACUUCUCUACUUAUCUACAGAAACACAAACAUGCAUCAGGUGGCAGGGGAAGGUUUGACAGCAAACUCAUGACUCUAAAACCUUGUAAUAAAUUUUAAGGAAAAAAGAUGGUAUGAAAAAAUUGAGAAAUUUAAAAAAUAAUAUAGGAACAAUCUUCUGGUUUCUACAGUAGAAAAAUUGAAAAUUUUAAAAAGUAUUAUUUCAUGAUGGUUUUUAUCAGGAACAUUCUAUAAGGAAAAUAGGUCUUGAAGGAGAAAGGUUCUACUUUACUAAAGGCAGAACACCUGGUAAUGCUAACAGUACUGACUUUCAACCUAUAGAAAUUAGUUAUAAAAAUACUUCCUGGGAAAAUCCAACCCCAUAAUUAGUCUCAGUUUGUCUGCCCACAUUAAAUUAUACUAUAUGAUGUACACAGUUACCUUGCUGCUUGAUAUAUUUCAUAACUAAUAAAAUCACUCACAUCUAUUGAUUUCAUUUGAAGAAAAAUGGGGAGGUUACUCUUUAUAAGUAGAUUUCCACCACAGCAUGAUUAUGCGGUGAGCUGGUAAUGACAGAAACCAUUUGAUUUUUACUCUUCAUUAAAAAUAAAUAUACAUUUAAAUAAGAUUCAUGGUUACUCUGCUCAGAAUCCAUAUACCAGAUCAAGUCUAUUAUUACCCCAAAGUAGAAUUAAUUGCAGGGAUUUUUUGUAAAAAGGAUAAGCUCCCCUGACAUAAUAGGUAAGUACAGUAAUAGAGUUAUUGAAAAUUUACCAUUUAUAUUU